UGCUGGGUUGGACUGUGCUAACCCUUGCACCAGGUCUUGCUGCUUGCCCGUAAGUGUGGUUUGUGGUCAGUGCUGCUUCUGGCCAGGAGCUGUGAUGCUGCUGCAGGGAGGGUUCUGUCCCCGCAUCCAGGCACUGUUGCAGGCCGGGCUGUGGCUGGGGGGCCACUGAACAAGCAGGAGUGGAACAGUUUUCAACAGGCCUGGAGAUGUGGAGAGCAGGAAGUCCGUGCACUUCCCUCAGCAGCGCUGCAGGCCGCUCUGUCCCAAUGUGUGCAGCAGUGGGACCACUGGGAGCUGCUCCGGGGAGCUGCCCUCAAAAAGCGUGCUCUGUUCAUCUGCUUGCUGCUGUGGAAAGCUCUGACUUUCAGCCUGGUUUUCCAUACAGUCAGCUCACCUUGCUGCCCUGUACUUCCCUGUGAGACCUUGCUCCCGGAAAGCAGUUUGCUGCAGUAACUCCCACCCAUCAGCACAGGCACAGCAUGCCAGCCCUGCCCAGGGCUCCUGCCUGCACUGAGGGACAUUGUAUGAUCCCUGUGUCAGGAAGGUAAAGAAAACAGCCCCACUUCCUCUGCACGCACAGCUGGGGCUGGAGGAGCCGAGCACUGCCUGCUGCAGGGUUUGGGCUGAGUGGCAGGAAGUGUGGCAGACAGAUGGUCGUGUGCCUGGAUGGACUGCUACAGGGAUGGACAGGCAGUUCUGUGGAUGGACGGAUGGUUACAGGGACGGACAGGCAGUUCCAGGAAGGACGGACAUUUACCUGCUGGCUGUGAGGUGUCCGUGCUGUCCCCGCUCCCAUGGCUGUGUUGCAGUGUUCCGAUGGCACAGUGAUGGCCCCGCUGCCCUGUGGGCACUGCAGUCCCACAUCACAGCCCCACAGAUCGAGGCCUGCAGGGAGCAGCCGCUGUGCGCCCGUCACAGCACGGCUCAUUUGGCCCAGAUUGAGCCAUUAAGAGCCUGAAAUGACGAAACAAUUUGUUUGUUCUCUGUAAAAAUCGCUCCAAAGAGGGAACCAUCGAUCUCUGCGGGCAGCGGAGGAGCGGGGCACGCUGCCUCCUGCCCAUCCAAAGCCCAUUUGUUUGGGGUUUAUCUGAGGAAUGGUGCCCUUUGCAAACACAGCCUGGGCUGGGCAGAUGUCAGCGCGUCACUGCUGCAUCCUCUACCGAAGGGAUGGGGCAGAUGUUCCCAAACACUGCGGGAUGAGGGUCAAUACAAGAGGAACUGUGGCUCUGUGAGAUAACAGCAGCCUCAGUGCUGCUCCUCUGAGCACAGAGAGGGGGGUGAGCCGCCCCGGGAGCACCGCAGUGUGGGGGUGGUACAGAGAGAGGUACAACUCUGUGCCUAUGUGUAAUACAGCUCUGCUUCAUAGCCCUGUGCAGCCGUACGCUCAUUCUCUGUGGCUGUACAGUUCGGCUGUGCCUUUCUGUGAACCUUCAAAGAUGGACACAGCACCCCGUGCAGCUGAGCCAUCCUCACACCCCCUUCUAUGCAGCACUGUCUGUCUCUUCAGAAACACUGUGCAUGUGCAUCUGUGUCUGCUGGGGGUGUGUAGGCACAUAUACAGGCAACAAAGUACAUCCAUCUGUGCAUAGAUACAUAUAGACUUACAUCUGUGUAUAUAGACGUACACUUACAUAUGUAUAUACAUAAUAUACAUUAUCUGUGUAC
ensembl:lncRNA